rnacentral:rRNA from 1 species
AGAGUUGAUCAUGGCUCAGGACGAACGCUGGCGGCGUGCCUAACACAUGCAAGUCGAGCGAGGAGAUUCCUUCGGGAUGAUCCUAGCGGCGGACGGGUGAGUAACACGUGGGCAACCUGCCUCAUAGAGAGGAAUAGCCUUCCGAAAGGGAGAUUAAUACCUCAUAACAUUGCAGUUUCGCAUGGAACAGCAAUUAAAGGAGUAAUCCGCUAUGAGAUGGGCCCGCGGCGCAUUAGCUAGUUGGUGAGGUAACGGCUCACCAAGGCGACGAUGCGUAGCCGACCUGAGAGGGUGAUCGGCCACAUUGGGACUGAGACACGGCCCAGACUCCUACGGGAGGCAGCAGUGGGGAAUAUUGCACAAUGGGGGAAACCCUGAUGCCAGCAACGCCGCGUGAGUGAUGACGGCCUUCGGGUUGUAAAGCUCUGUCUUCAGGGACGAUAAUGACGGUACCUGAGGAGGAAGCCACGGCUAACUACGUGCCAGCCGCGGC